rnacentral:rRNA from 1 species
AGCGAACGCUGGCGGCAGGCCUAACACAUGCAAGUCGAGCGCCCCGCAAGGGGGAGCGGCAGACGGGAGAGUAACACGUGGGAACGUACCCUUCAGUUCGGAACAACCCAGGGAAACUUGGGCUAAUACCGAAUACGUCCGUAAGGAGAAAGAUUUAUCGCUGAAGGAUCGGCCCGCGUCUGAUUAGCUUGUUGGUGAGGUAACGGCUCACCAAGGCUACGAUCAGUAGCUGGCUGAGAGGAUGAUCAGCCUCACUGGGACUGAGACACGGCCCAGACUCCUACGGGAGGCAGCAGUGGGGAAUAUUGGACAAUGGGCGCAAGCCUGAUCCAGCCAUGCCGCGUGGGUGA